rnacentral:lncRNA from 1 species
CUGUCUGUCUAUGUAGCAACAGCUCCAAAGUAUUUUUGGGCAGUUUGAUACCUUUUAUAUCUGGAGCAGCCUUAACCAGAAAAGCCAAAAUCUAAAACUGACAAAGUGAUAUGUUAAGACUUCAAAAUGAUAAAUAAUUUUUAACAAAAUUGGCCUCAAACUAAUAAAAUCUGUAAGCAAAUAAAAUUGAACUAUUAGUUUAACAGAAACACAAUAUUUAUGAGAUGCUGCCUCUCUUCAUUGGUGAUUUAUUUUUAAUUAUAAAAUUUGCAGCAGGUCUUUGCUUCAAGCCCUUGAUAUUUGAAAUAGUUGGUUACCUGAUGAAGGAAGUAACACUUGCUUCUAGGGUUAUAAGAAUCUCAGCUUUACAAAAUGCAUCUAUUCAUGAAACUAACUUCUCUAAUUGGUGAUCAAAAUGUAAAAUUUAAUACAGUACUAAUAUCUCACUGACGUGUAUACAUGUUUCUGAGUAAUAUUUUUACAAUAAAACAUAGAUUCAUAAGC